CAUUUUUUCAGUGACACUUUAAUGUGCAUUAAAAUAUGCUAAAGUGAAUUAAAGCGCAUGUAUAGACAUGCCCGGGAGUACUAGGUUUACUGCGCAUUAUUUAAAGCACAUUAAUGAACGUGCAGACGCGCCCACUGAUGCUUUGGCUCGGUGAAUCCAGAAAGUUACCCAGAAAAUGCAACUUUCAACCCAAAGUAAACACAUCUGGAAAAAAAGCUGGUUAGUUCCUUACUAGCUUUGUGUUAUAAAUACAAUCUAUGGGCGACCUUAGCAUUCGAGAUUUCGACAGGGUCUAAAUCUUCCGUCUUCAGCAAGUGAGUUAGUAUCUGAGCCAUGAGCAGGUCACAGCGGAAAGCAAGUGUUUUGUCACUGUCGGGUCUCGGCUGCGGUGGGGUUAUACAUGAGAUCGCCGGGUUAAUUUGAUGGGAGCUGCUCUCUGAGUUUUGGGUUCGAGCCCCCAUUUUGGACAGCGGGCCAGCGGCUUGAAAUCAAAGAGAAAAAAACCCAACACUGGUUUUAGCGGUGAGGGAAAAAAAAUAAAAUAAUGUAGUCUGAAAAAUAGAGACUUGCAAAAAUAUAUCAUCUUUAUAUCUCUAUAAACACAGUGUUUCUCUAAUCAGUUAAUGGCAGGGUGAGAAGGUCAUGGCUGAGCGGUCCAUCUGCCUCGAAUUCUGCAGAAGGAGGGAGGUUUCUAUUGUCAAAAGCAACUUAAAUGCUAUAAAAAAAAGGCCUCAACCGUAGGGUGGGACGGGGGACGCGGAGCCCCCGUCAAUUCUUCCAUCCACGCAGCAGUCUCUCAACACAUCCCCAAGACCAACCAAAGGCUUCGACGCGCACGCAGCCGCGUCCCGCACAUGCACACACACACGCACUCACGCACACGCCACCGGCCCUCGCGUCUCACGGCAAUGGGGUUACAGCUCACGCGCUUUGCAUGCUUCGCUUGCUCUAGGUGCUAACGAGUUCCUGUAGGCCGAAGGAAGGGGAAGGGGGAGGUUGGGGUCUGUAAGAGGUGGGUCAGGGAGGGGAGGGGAGGGGGGGUCAGCUGUUAUCCAUGGCACUAUACAUACGAGGCUCUAGACAGGGCGCAGGGGGCUGUAUAUAGUGGAGAUAAGAUACGCCGAAAGCAACAGGGCA